UGGGGAAUUUUGGACAAUGGGGGCAACCCUGAUCCAGCAAUGCCGCGUGUGUGAAGAAGGCCUUCGGGUUGUAAAGCACUUUUAUCAGGAGCGAAACGCUGUCGGCUAAUACCCGGCGGAACUGACGGUACCUGAGGAAUAAGCACCGGCUAACUUCGUGCCAGCAGCCGCGGUAAUACGAAGGGUGCAAGCGUUAAUCGGAAUUACUGGGCGUAAAGCGUGCGUAGGCGGUUUCUUAAGUCUGCUGUGAAAUCCCCGGGCUCAACCUGGGAAUGGCAGUGGAUACUGGGAGGCUAGAGUGUGUCAGAGGGUGGUGGAAUUCCCGGUGUAGCGGUGAAAUGCGUAGAGAUCGGGAGGAACAUCAGUGGCGAAGGCGGCCACCUGGGACAACACUGACGCUGAGGCACGAAAGCGUGGGGAGCAAACAGGAUUAGAUACCCUGGUAGUCCACGCCCUAAACGAUGCGAACUGGAUGUUGGUCUCAACUCGGAGAUCAGUGUCGAAGCUAACGCGUUAAGUUCGCCGCCUGGGGAGUACGGUCGCAAGACUGAAACUCAAAGGAAUUGAC
rnacentral:rRNA from 1 species